GCGCCCGUAGCUCAAAGGAUAGAGCAGCGGAUUCCGGUUCCGCAGGUUGCCCGUUCGACUCGGGUCGGGUGCG
rnacentral:tRNA from 2 species